GCGAGAUCCGGAAGUAGGCCUCUAUCAUUGCACACUCUGACAAGCCUCUUCAUUGGAACUGAACCUGAUUUUUUUUUUACGACGCCUGCCCUAGUUUCAGAUUUUUUUUACACUUGAUCUUAGAAGACUGAGAAGCGAUAGUUCCAAAUCUUUUAAUAAACAGACAUGCUCAUUAAUGAGGUGCUGGACACAUUACAGGUCAGCCUAGUGUAGCUCAUUGCAAAGGAUUUACAUGAUUUUUGGUGGGGUGUUGUGGAUUGCCCUGGGGCUAAUUAUAUUUGAUGUCAAUUCUGUUCUCCUGUGAGGAGUUGUGAACAAGGAAUGAGUCAGCACUUAGGUGAUUUCUUGUAAACCUUCCCACCUUAAUUUGUAAAAUAAAGGAAAGCUGAUGAUUGGGCAGAGAAAGGGAAAGUGGAGUGGAAAGAAAGGAAGGAGGUUUGAGACAGAGAAGGCAGAGGAGGAGGAAGAAGAAAAGCAGAACAGAAGAACAUGGCCUGGAGAAAACCCCUACUGAGAACCAGGCAGAGAGGGAACCCAGAAAGUCCAGACGGGUUGCUGAUUAGCACACGACUAAGUUGGCCUCUGACUCAGAGAUCCAUCUGCCGAUUUCUGCUUCCCCAAAGCUGGAAUUAAAGGAAUGCCCUACCAUACCCUUCAGAAAAGAUUUAAAUGCAAUUCAGAUCCUGUACACGUGUCCCAGGCUACCAGACUCCCUCCCUUCCCCUGCCAACCAGGAACCAGCCUGACUACAAUUACUUACUAUGGAAUGCCCAUCAGUCACAUGGUAUAGAGCCAGCUCCCUCCUCUGAAAUGUAUAAGAAGGGACAUUAUUGUGCCACAUGGGCCUACACUCCCUUCAGGGUACCCACAGUUGUCUUUCAGUCAAUCAAAAUUGUCAACUCGAUUAAUAAAUCUUUGACCCGAAGAGCC
rnacentral:lncRNA from 1 species